UACGUAGGCAGCAAGCGUUGUUCGGAAUUACUGGGCGUAAAGAGUGUGUAGGCGGUGCUCUAAGUUUGGUGUGAAAUCUCCCGGCCCAACUGGGAGGGUGCGCCGAAAACUGGAAUGCUUGAACAUGGGAGAGGAAAGCGGAAUUCCUGGUGUAGCGGUGAAAUGCGUAGAUAUCAGGAGGAACACCUGCGGUGUAGACGGCUUUCUGGACCAUUGUUGACGCUGAGACACGAAAGCGUGGGUAGCAAACAGG
rnacentral:rRNA from 1 species